GCAUAUCAAUAAGCGGAGGAAAAGAAACCAACAGGGAUUGCCCCAGUAACGGCGAGUGAAGCGGCAACAGCUCAAAUUUGAAAUCUGGUCCCUAGGGCCCGAGUUGUAAUUUGUAGAGGAUGCUUUUGGUGAGGUGCCGCCCGAGUUCCCUGGAACGGGACGCCACAGAGGGUGAGAGCCCCGUCUGGCUGGCCGCCGAGCCUCUGUAAAGCUCCUUCGACGAGUCGAGUAGUUUGGGAAUGCUGCUCAAAAUGGGAGGUAUAUGUCUUCUAAAGCUAAAUAUUGGCCAGAGACCGAUAGCGCACAAGUAGAGUGAUCGAAAGAUGAAAAGCACCUUGAAAAGAGGGUUAAAUAGUACGUGAAAUUGUUGAAAGGGAAGCGCUUGUGACCAGACUUGGGCGCGGCGGAUCAUCCGGGGUUCUCUCCGGUGCACUUCGCCGCGUCUAGGCCAGCAUCAGUUCGUCGCGGGGGAAAAAGGCUUCGGGAACGUGGCUCCUCCGGGAGUGUUAUAGCCCGUUGCAUAAUACCCUGCGGUGGACUGAGGACCGCGCAUCUGCAAGGAUGCUGGCGUAAUGGUCACCAGCGACCCGUCUUGAAACACGGACCAAGGAGUCGUCUUCGUAUGCGAGUGUUCGGGUGUCAAACCCCUACGCGUAAUGAAAGUGAACGCAGGUGAGAGCUUCGGCGCAUCAUCGACCGAUCCUGAUGUUCUCGGAUGGAUUUGAGUAAGAGCAUACGGGGCCGGACCCGAAAGAAGGUGAACUAUGCCUGUAUAGGGUGAAGCCAGAGGAAACUCUGGUGGAGGCUCGCAGCGGUUCUGACGUGCAAAUCGAUCGUCAAAUAUGGGCAUGGGGGCGAAAGACUAAUCGAACCUUCUAGUAGCUGGUUUCC
rnacentral:rRNA from 1 species